GGGGGGCUGGCGCAAUUGGUAGCGCGUACGACUCCAGAUCGUAAGGUUAUCCGUUCGAUUCGGGUGCUCCUCA
rfam:Xylona heveae TC161 unplaced genomic scaffold L228scaffold_7, whole genome shotgun sequence.